GCUCUGAGAAUCCUUUAAUCCCUCCCACCCACAGAGUAAGCUAACUGCCGCCCGGUGAACCUGUGGAAUGUGGGCGGGGCAUGUGGAAUGUGGGCG
rnacentral:miRNA from 14 species